GCUUGCUUCAUCAGCACACAUACAACUAAAAUGGGAAUGAUACAGAGAAGAUUAGCAUGGCCUCUGUGCAAGGAUAACAACCAAAUUCAUAAAAAAUAAAAUCUCGCU
rnacentral:snRNA from 1 species